GUGCCAGCAGCCGCGGUAAUUCCAGCUCCAAUAGCGUAUAUUAAAGUUGUUGUGGUUAAAAAGCUCGUAGUUGAACCUUGGGCCUGGCUGGCCGGUCCGCCUCACCGCGUGCACUGGUCCGGCCGGGCCUUUCCCUCUGUGGAACCCCAUACCCUUCACUGGGCGUGGCGGGGAAACAGGACAUUUACUUUGAAAAAAUUAGAGUGCUCCAGGCAGGCCUAUGCUCGAAUACAUUAGCAUGGAAUAAUAAAAUAGGACGCGCGGUUCUAUUUUGUUGGUUUAUAGGACCGCCGUAAUGAUUAAUAGGGACAGUCGGGGGCAUCAGUAUUCAACUGUCAGAGGUGAAAUUCUUGGAUCAGUUGAAGACUAACUACUGCGAAAGCAUUUGCCAAGGAUGUUUUCAUUAAUCAGGAACGAAAGUUAGGGGGAUCGAAGACGAUCAGAUACCGUCGUAGGUCUUUACCCAUAAACUAUGGCCGACUAGGGGAUCGGGACGGUGUUAUUCAUGAACCCCGUUCGGCACCCUUACGAGAAAUCAAAAGUGUUUGGCCUCCCAGGGGGAGUAUGGGUCGCAAGGGUGAAACUUAAAGAAAAUGACGGAAAGGGCCCACCAGGGGUGGGGGGCGUGCGCGUGAAUUUGGCUCGAGAAGGAGUAAACUCACCCGGGCCACAACACGAGACGGAUUGACGACAUUGGAGAGCGCGUUUCUUGGUUUUUGUAGAUAUGUGGAGGACGAGGCCGUUCAUAACUUGGUGGAGAAACACGAGGAGACGUAAUUGCAGUCACGGCACGUGCACGCUAAAGCCGGCGAAAGUAGGCCGGAUUUGACAAGGAAGACACGCGGAGAUGCCUUGAAGGAGGGAUUGAGAAUUUAG
rnacentral:rRNA from 1 species